rnacentral:rRNA from 1 species
UAAUAGUGUAUAUUAAAGUUGUUGCAGUUAAAAAGCUCGUAGUUGAAUGUUGGUGUCGAACGAGCGGUCAGCUUCGGCUGUACUGCUCUCUCGACUCCUUCUUUCUGUGGACUACGUCGCACUUUACUGUGUGGCGCUAGGACGCAGAUCGUUUACUGUGAAAAAAUUAGAGUGUUCAAAGCAGGCCGUACGCUUGAAUACAUUAGCAUGGAAUAAUGGAAUAGGACGUCGGGCCUAUUUUGUUGGUUCUAGGACCGUCGUAAUGAUUAAUAGGGACAGUUGGGGCCGUUUAUAUUCCGUAGUCAGAGGUGAAAUUCUUGGAUUUACGGAAGAUAAACUACUGCGAAAGCAUUCGGCAAGGAUGUUUUCGUUAA